GAUGUACGCUAGCGAUAGGCUUAACACAUGCAAGUCGAGGGGCAGCACAAGGUAGCUUGCUAUCUGGGUGGCGACCGGCGCACGGGUGCGUAACGCGUAUGCAACUUGCCCUAUACAGGAGGAUAACCCGUCGAAAGACGGACUAAUACUGCGUAUGCUCACAACUUGGCAUCAAGUGGUGAGGAAAGAAAUUCGGUAUAGGAUAGGCAUGCGUCCCAUUAGCUUGUUGGUGAGGUAACGGCUCACCAAGGCAACGAUGGGUAGGGGAACUGAGAGGUUUAUCCCCCACACUGGUACUGAGACACGGACCAGACUCCUACGGGAGGCAGCAGUGAGGAAUAUUGGUCAAGGGGCGCGAGCCUGAACCAGCCAAGUCGCGUGAAGGAUGACUGUCUUAUGGAUUGUAAACUUCUUUUAUACGGGAAUAACAAGAGUCACGUGUGACUCCCUGCAUGUACCGUAUGAAUAAGCAUCGGCUAACUCCGUG
rnacentral:rRNA from 1 species